CCUACGGGUGGCUGCAGUGAGGAAUAUUGGUCAAUGGACGAGAGUCUGAACCAGCGACGUAGCGUGAAGGAUGAAUGCCCUAUGGGUUGUAAACUUCUUUUAUAUGGGAAUAAAAUGUUCCACGUGUGGGAUUUUGUAUGUACCAUAUGAAUAAGGAUCGGCUAACUCCGUGCCAGCAGCCGCGGUAAUACGGAGGGUCCGAGCGUUAUCCGGAUUUAUUGGGUUUAAAGGGAGCGUAGGUGGAUUGUUAAGUCAGGUGUGAAAGGUUGCGGCUCAACCGUAAAAUUGCAAUUGAUACUGGCAGUCUGGAGUACAGGUGAGGUAAGCGGAAUUCGUGGUGUAGCGGUGAAAUGCGUAGAUAUCACGAAGAACCCCGAUGGCGAAGGCAGCUUACUAGACUGUGACUGACAUUGAGGCGCGAAAGUGUGGGUAGCAAACAGGAUUAGAUACCCUAGUAGUC
rnacentral:rRNA from 1 species